UACGUAGGGGGCAAGCGUUGUCCGGAAUCAUUGGGCGUAAAGCGCGCGUAGGUGGCCUCAUAAGUCCGCUGUGAAAGUCAAAGGCUCAACCUUUGAAAGCCGGUGGAUACUGUGAGGCUAGAGUACUGCAGGGGAGACUGGAAUUCCUGGUGUAGCGGUGAAAUGCGCAGAUAUCAGGAGGAACACCGGUGGCGAAGGCGGGUCUCUGGGCCGAUAUUGACGCU
rnacentral:rRNA from 1 species